UAAGGAUCGGCUAACUCGGUGCCAGCAGCCGCGGUAAUACGGAGGAUCCGAGCGUUAUCCGGAUUUAUUGGGUUUAAAGGGAGCGUAGGCGGACGCUUAAGUCAGUUGUGAAAGUUUGCGGCUCAACCGUAAAAUUGCAGUUGAUACUGGGUGUCUUGAGUACAGUAGAGGCAGGCGGAAUUCGUGGUGUAGCGGUGAAAUGCUUAGAUAUCACGAAGAACUCCGAUUGCGAAGGCAGCUUGCUGGACUGUAACUGACGCUGAUGCUCGAAAGUGUGGGUAUCAAACAGGAUUAGAUACCCUGGUAGUCCACACAGUAAACGAUGAAUACUCGCUGUUUGCGAUAUACAGUAAGCGGCCAAGCGAAAGCGUUAAGUAUUCCACCUGGGGAGUACGCCGGCAACGGUGAAACUCAAAGGAAUUGACGGGGGCCCGCACAAGCGGAGGAACAUGUGGUUUAAUUCGAUGAUACGCGAGGAACCUUACCCGGGCUUGAAUUGCAACUGAAUGAUGUGGAGACAUGUCAGCCGCAAGGCAGUUGUGAAGGUGCUGCAUGGUUGUCGUCAGCUCGUGCC
rnacentral:rRNA from 1 species